rnacentral:rRNA from 1 species
AUUGAACGCUGGCGGCAGGCCUAACACAUGCAAGUCGAACGGUAACAGGGAUCAGCUUGCUGAUUCGCUGACGAGUGGCGGACGGGUGAGUAAUGUCUGGGAAACUGCCUGAUGGAGGGGGAUAACUACUGGAAACGGUAGCUAAUACCGCAUAACGUCGCAAGACCAAAGAGGGGGACCUUCGGGCCUCUUGCCAUCGGAUGUGCCCAGAUGGGAUUAGCUAGUAGGUGGGGUAACGGCUCACCUAGGCGACGAUCCCUAGCUGGUCUGAGAGGAUGGACAGCCACACUGGAACUGAGACACGGUCCAGACUCCUACGGGAGGCAGCAGUGGGGAAUAUUGCACAAUGGGCGCAAGCCUGAUGCAGCCAUGCCGCGUGUAUGAAGAAGGCCUUCGGGUUGUAAAGUACUUUCAGCGGGGAGGAAGGGAGUAAAGUUAAUACCUUUGCUCAUUGACGUUACCCGCAGAAGAAGCACCGGCUAACUCCGUG